GUCCGGCUGGCUUGCAAGUUCAUGCAUCGUUUCACUUCUGUAGGUAUUGAUCAGUGUACACGACCGUUACUUAUAACUUUCCAUUUUGAACUAUCAGGUGCAUGUAUAAUAUACAUGUUUGUCUUGCGUGUCCGAAAGUGAUAUUUAUACUAGUCAUUACUGAACUCAUACGCUUGUUUAUAAAUAACAUUUCUGGUGUAAAGAAUAUUAUCUAUAAAAAAAAUUAAUACAAAAAAAAAAAUUGAAGAAAUACAAAUCUAUUUACAUAUUUUUCCAAGGGUUAAUUUGGGAAAAUGUAAUAUAUACUCAUUGUCAAUAGUUUAGGACAGAUUGGAACAUACCAGAAUUAUUGAUUUAAAAAAAUGUGCGCACUUGUCGACGAUUCGUGUAUACAUACGCCUAGGUAGAAAGUUACGGAACUAUAGUCAGUAGCGCAAUUUAAAAUAUGUAUACAUGUAUACAUUGAACAUAAGAAAGAAACAUACAUUUUGUGUAAAUUGUGGUAAAAGUUUUGUAAAUUAUUAUAGACUAGUCCACGUAUGCCAACAGUAUGUAAUCAACGAAUUCGAUAGACUAUUGUAUACCAAAAGAAGAAGAAGAAAAAAAA
rnacentral:lncRNA from 1 species